GGGCCCGCACAAGCGGUGGAGUAUGUGGUUUAAUUCGAUGCAACGCGAAGAACCUUACCAGGGUUUGACAUCCUGCGAAUUUCUUGGAAACGAGAAAGUGCCUUCGGGAACGCAGUGACAGGUGGUGCAUGGCUGUCGUCAGCUCGUGUCGUGAGAUGUUGGGUUAAGUCCCGCAACGAGCGCAACCCACGUCUUUAGUUGCCAGCAUUUAGUUGGGCACUCUAGAGAGACCGCCGGUGAUAAACCGGAGGAAGGUGUGGAUGACGUCAAGUCAUCAUGCCCCUUACAUCCUGGGCUACACACGUGCUACAAUGGUAGGUACAGAGGGCAGCUACACAGCGAUGUGAUGCGAAUCUCAAAAAGCCUAUCGUAGUCCAGAUUGGAGUCUGCAACUCGACUCCAUGAAGUAGGAAUCGCUAGUAAUCG
rnacentral:rRNA from 1 species